GCAAGCCCUAGAAUGCAUUUCCUUCAUCUCCCCCAACCAUCUGCAGGGCGGGAAGUGGGGUGAACCCACCCCCCGGGCUGACACAGUGAUGAGCAAUGGCAAUUUGCCUUAAAAACCCUAACGAGUGGAUCAUUGCUGCAGAGGAACGGGAGAACCCUCCAGUCCCCCGGCGGCCGCAUGCCACGGUCGGCUGUGCAGUAACCAGGCAGAGCACAAUGACAUCCCAGCCUCGCUCCCCAGAUAAAAAUUUCUCUCCCUCCACUUUUGCAAAGGUGGGAACACAAUCCAGGAGUCACAUGGAAGUGGCUAGUGUGAUGGCCGAAGUCAGGAAGGGGCGAGAAUUCUUCCAGACCUCCAUGGUGAAUCUGGGGGUCACAUGGAGGAAAG
rnacentral:lncRNA from 1 species